rnacentral:tRNA from 1 species
GCCUCCGUAGCUCAGUGGAUUAGAGCAGUCGGCUUCUACCGAUUGGUCGCGGGUUCGAAUCCUGCCGGGGGCG